rnacentral:lncRNA from 1 species
CAACUAAUUCUUAUAAGGAAGCCCAAUUCAUUUAAAUCAGUUAGUUGCAUAAGCCCAUACUAGUUUACCCUAAUGGAUAGUAGCUCCAAAAGGGAAGUAGCUGAUGAAUACCUCCUACAUAGAUACAAGAAGGACCCCUAUUCAUUCGGCAAUCGAAGCCCUUCUUCAAUCCCGACAAUUUAAGCUUCUUCGGUGACAACCCCUCUAGCGCCGUCUAAUAUGACGACCGCAGAAUGAGAGAACCGACCUACUAGAGUUGCUUUCUCAGUUCUCUCUCCCCACUCUCCUCUCUAGCUGAAAAGGUGCUUAAACCUCGCCAUUGGAGUUGCUUACAAAUUGGACUGUUAACAGAUCGCUAGUCACAAUCGGUUAUCGCAUUUACUCUCCACAGAUUCGCUUGAGCCUCCCUUCGACUGGAACAAAAUCUCAUCAAGAAACUUAGUGUGAACGCCUAGAGUGAAUACGAUACUCAACAUAGCUUCUAAAACCCACCGAAAACCUGCUGUCGGAAGUCAAGUUCUCGUUAAACAUCCUCCCAAGUUGUCGGACUUCAUAUCCCCUGCCACCCAUUCCUAGCGAUGCACUUCCUCUCUCAUACCUUAAUUUUAUGAAUGAAAUAAAUCACACUUGCUCACUCCACCAGAGAUGAUAGCAGUCAUCGACUGUUAAGGGAGUGAGUCAAAGUUCACAAACACAACUACAUGAUGCAGCCUCUCAAGCGACACUCACUCAUUCUUAACCCUAAUCCUUGAAAAGUAUGAAUAUAUAUGUGGAAGAAGGGUGUUGGGGUCUUUUGAAGCAAUUCGGAUUAUUGGUCCUAAAAUGAGUAAGAAAUACUCCCAGCAGGAGCUACAUCCGAUCAGGGAGAAUGAGACAAGCCAAAUUCUGAAAUUGGCAUAAUUGGUCCUGAGGGUUUGAUCAGGUGGCGAUUUCUACCUUGAUUUAAGAUUCUUAUGACAAAACAAGUUUUGGAAAAUACAAUUUAACCCCUGGCCAGAAAUCCCUUACAAAUAAAGUCCAAAAUUUACCAAUCAGCCCCUCUUCUAUAAAUUGUUCUCAAAUGAAGUCUAUAUGUUACCAUUCAACGCCUAAGCUUCCAAAAUCUCUUCAAUUUGAGUCCCAAUAAUUCACCACUUAGUCCAUUCCUUCAAUAAUACUUAAAAAUUAAGUCCAGAUUUUACUCUUCAAUCCCCGAAACUCUAAAUCAUGUCAUUCGACUCCCCGAAACCAACACCCCGAUAAAUAUUAUGGACUUUAUGGCUAUUAUUCAUCCAUUAAUUUUAUCUGUUUAUUUAUUUAAUAAACGGGGUGUUACACGGUUGCUAGGACCGAAGGGUAGUUCAUACACCCCAGAUAUGUCUGAUAAUAUAUUAUGUUAUGAUAUGUGAUAGUAAUAGCAGUAGGGGGGGGAAAUAGUCCCCGAGGAUCGGUUGUCAGGACCGACGGGUAGUCAGCACCCCAGAAUGGCUUGACACGGGUAGUCAACACCCCAGAAUGGCUUGACACGGGUAUGACGACACCCCAGAAUGACCGCACGGGUAGUCGGCACCCCAGAAUGGUCGUACCGGGUAGUCAGGCACCCCAGAAUAGCCUGGCAGUAUGUAUGUUAUGUGUUUGUAUGGUAUGUGGUACGAUGGGGGAACUCACUAAGCUUUGUGCUAACAGUUUACAGUUUUGGUUUCAGGUACCUCUUCUUCAAAGGGGAAGGAGCCGGCGCGGUAGCGGCACAUCAUGCACACACACUGGUUUCCGUAUUUACGAGAUUUCUCUGGGAUUUAUACUCUGAUAUUUCGAUUGGUUGUAU